rnacentral:rRNA from 1 species
UACGUAGGGGGCAAGCGUUGUCCGGAUUUAUUGGGCGUAAAGAGCGUGUAGGCGGCUUGGAAGGUCAGCUGUGAAAACUCGAGGCUCAACCUCGAGACGUCGGUUGAAACCACCUGGCUAGAGUCCGGAAGGGGAGAGUGGAAUUCCCGGUGUAGCGGUGAAAUGCGCAGAUAUCGGGAAGAACACCCGUGGCGAAGGCGGCUCUCUGGGACGGUACUGACGCUGAGACGCGAAAGCGUGGGGAGCGAACAGG